GGACAUGUAGCUCAGUGGUAGAGUAUUUGAUUAGCAUGCACAAGGCCUUGGGUUCAAUUCCCAGCACCACCA
rnacentral:tRNA from 1 species